CGUGGUAACUGCCCAAAAGUGGGGAUACAUUUGGAAACAAAUGCUAAUACGCAUAUAGUCAGAACCGCAUGGUUCUGAUUUGAAAGAUGGUUUCGGCUAUCACUUUUGGAUGGACCCGCGGCGUAUUAGUUAGUUGGUGAGGUAAAGGCUCACCAAGACGAUGAUACGUAGCCGAACUGAGAGGUUGAUCGGCCACAAUGGGACUGAGACACGGCCCAUACUCCUACGGGAGGCAGCAGUAGGGAAUCUUUCCACAAUGGGCGAAAGCCUGAUGGAGCAACACCGCGUGAGUGAAGAAGGGUUUCGGCUCGUAAAACUCUGUUGUUGGAGAAGAACGUAUGUGAUAGUAACUGAUCAUGUAGUGACGGUAUCCAACCAGAAAGCCACGGCUAACUACGUGCCAGCAGCCGCGGUAAUACGUAGGUGGCAAGCGUUAUCCGGAUUUAUUGGGCGUAAAGCGAGCGCAGGCGGUUUUUUAAGUCUGAUGUGAAAGCCCUUGGCUCAACCAAGGAAGUGCAUCGGAAACUGGAAAACUUGAGUGCAGAAGAGGACAGUGGAACUCCAUGUGUAGCGGUGAAAUGCGUAGAUAUAUGGAAGAACACCAGUGGCGAAGGCGGCUGUCUGGUCUGUAACUGACGCUGAGGCUCGAAAGCAUGGGUAGCGAACAGGAUUAGAUACCCUGGUAGUCCAUGCCGUAAACGAUGAAUGCUAGGUGUUGGAGGGUUUCCGCCCUUCAGUGCCGGAGCUAACGCAUUAAGCAUUCCGCCUGGGGAGUACGACCGCAAGGUUGAAACUCAAAUGAAUCGACGG
rnacentral:rRNA from 1 species